UUUUUAUGUAGCUCAUCCUCUCUCUCAGCUCACUCUCAAUCAUUCUUUCUGGAGUCUUUCUCAUCGUUCUCACCUUCUCCCUUAUCCAAAAUCAUACAGCCAUCUAAACCACCUUUUCGGCCAAUCGAUCACCAAACCAACACCAUAGUGACCCUCAUCUCUUCACAAGCUUAAACAUGAACCCUAGACUGUGAAAAAAUGACCACUGACUGAGGUCAUAAGAGCUCUGACGAGAACCGAAUUUUUUUCGACAAGAUUCUGUCUCCUUUUUGUUGUUUUGGAUGAGUUUGGGGGUCACCAAUUGAGUUACCAUCAUCCUAGAAGUCAAUUUCGAGCAUUGGAUCCUGGGGUCCACCUCGACGUACAAAGAUCACACAACUUCGAUUUGAGCCAAAGUUUUUCGACGAGUUUCAGGCCAUCUCUGGCCUUUUCUUAGACUUUUAAAAGGAUUUGUGCUCAAUUUCCCAGUUCCUGGCAAGAUAAACGGCUGCAGCUGCAACCAACUCACUGGAGAAGAAGGGAAAUAUUCCAAAACCCAACCCGCUUGUGGCUGCUCUAGUCUGCACGUAGAGGCACGUACGAUGGCGCAUAGUCUGCAAAACGUGGCCAACAACCCAAAGUGUCUUUCUAGGCUAAUUUUGAUGAUCUGAAUUUGUUUUUGGCAUUCAUUCAGCGUUAUUAUAUUGUUUUAACCUAAUUUUGUAGUUGGCAUCCACUUAAACUUGCGAUUGGCAGAGAUCCGACAGUCGGAUUGUCAUGAAUUUUUAGUAUGUUGUAGUGGAAGUGUGAUGAGGCUUUUAGGAAGUUACUGAAUGGAAAUUUAUAUGCGGAUCUUCCGAAUUGAA